AUCUCUUUCUUUCUUCACUCCAUGCCUCUCUCUCUCAACUUAAUGGCAGUUACAGUGAGGCCAUAGGAAACAAUAGGUUUAGGUAAGAGAAAACACCUUUAAACUGUUCUUUGCAGUAGUGCUGAAUUCCUCUGUUUAAUUGAAAUACCUUAGUGGACCUGUGUUUCUCAAAGCCUUUUCAGUCUUUUUUCCUGUUGUUGGGGUUCAGCAGCUUCUCCAACCCUACAAGGCUCCAUUGCUGGACUCCUUCUAUUCCUUUUCCUUUCACCUGCAAGUCAGUAUGUUCUUACCUGAGCUUAUCUCUUACUAUAUCUUGUUAAACACAGCAAGGAAUGACUAACACACAUGAACAUUCUGACUCAUGGGCCAUGGCUUCAGAAUACCAUGGAAAGAAACAGAAAAUUUUCCUUCUCAAUUGGUAUCCCUGUUAAAAAUAGACAACAAAUAAAUGAGUUUCAUGAUGUCUUGGAAAUUGCUGUCAUUAAGCAGAGGCCCACACUUUAAAAAAAUGAGAAGAAAUGCUUUAGCAGAUCUUUAUACUUAUAAGUUGCUCUGUCUGAAGUCUUUAAAAGUGAGUUCUUUUAGCAACAGAAUGAUGAUGAGCCCAUGGAGAGGUUCAAGAAUUCCAUCAUCUAUGCACACUAUUGGGUUAUAAGAUCCAUGAGGACAGCCUCCAUGUAGCACCAGAAAAGUUCAAACGAACACUUACAAAAGCUCUCCAUAGAACAGUUUACCGCAGUGGGGGUGAUAUGGUUUGGGUCUGUGUCCCCACCCAAAUCUCAUGUUCAAUUGUAAUCCUUAAUGUUGGAGGUGGGGCCUUACGGAAGGUGAUUGGAUCAUGGGGGUGGUUUCUCAUGGUUUAACAUCAUCACCCUUGGUGCUGUCAUCAUGAUAGUGAGUUCUCAUGAGAUCUGGUUGUUUAAAAGUACAUGGCACUUCCCCACCACACUCGGUACUGCUUCUGUCAUGUAAGCCUCCUGAUCUCGCUUUGCCUUCUGUCAUGAUUGUAAGUUUUCUGAGGCCUCCCCAGAAGCGGAGCAGAUGCUGCCAUGCUUCCUGUACAGCCUGCAGAACCAUGAGGUGAUUAAAACUCUUUUUUUUUUUUUUUUGAGACACUCAAAGUGGCUAAGAAACUAAUGGACUUUGUAUUCCCUACAGGAGCUAUUCUAAUUUAAUUGUGUAAUGAUAGAUAAACUUAUUUUACUGGGGCAAUCAUUCUUGAGCUAUGUAAAGCAUUGCCUGUCAUGUCAAAGCCUCGUGCUCCUUACCACUCUCAAUCAUCUAGAAAAGUCAAAACCACAAAAGGAGUACUAAGCUUAAAUUAACUAAAUUAUCAGACACACUUGAGUUCCCAUGGCCUUAAAUACUGUCCUUUGCUCUAUGACUCUGUGUUCUGCCCAUUCAGGAACCCAUAGACUGUCUCCCUCUGAUUCGGCCACUGGCAGGCAGGCCCAUAUAACUAGGAGUCCCUCCACCCAUACUUGAUUCUAAUCUCUUACAGGCAGAUCUGGCUACCUUUUCAAGCUGCCUUCUGUGUUACUUUGACAUGUCACUAUCAUUCUUUUUUCUUUUUCUUCUUUUUUUUUUUGAGACGGAGUUUCGGUCUUGUUGCCCGGGCUGGAGUGCAAUGGUGCGAUCUCGGCUCACCACAACCUCUGCCUCCCAGCUUCAAGCAAUUUUCCUGCCUCAGGCUCCCAAGUAGCUGGGAUUAGAGGCAUGUGCCACCAUGCCCGGCUAAUUUUGUAUUUUUAGUAGAGAUGGGGUUUCUCCAUGUUGGUCAGGCUGGUCUUGAACUCCUGACCUCAAGUGAUCCGCCACCUCAGCCUCCCAAAGUGCUGGGAUUACAGGUGUGAGCCACUGCGCCCA
rnacentral:lncRNA from 10 species